rnacentral:tRNA from 1 species
GGGCCCGUGGUCUAGCGGCAUGACGUCUCGUUGACGUCGAGGAGGUCCCCGGUUCGAUUCCGGGCGGGCCCA